rnacentral:rRNA from 1 species
GGUUGAUCCUGCCAGUAGUCAUAUGCUUGUCUCAAAGAUUAAGCCAUGCAUGUCCAAGUAUAAACGAAAUCGUACUGUGAAACUGCGAAUGGCUCAUUAAAUCAGUUAUAGUUUAUUUGAUGAUGACUUGCUACAUGGAUAACUGUGGUAAUUCUAGAGCUAAUACAUGCAACAAAGCCCCGACUUCCGGAAGGGGCGUAUUUAUUAGAUAAAAAACCAACGCGGCUCGCCGCUCUCUUGGUGAUUCAUAAUAACUGCUCGAAUCGCAUGGCCUCGUGCCGGCGAUGCAUCAU